rnacentral:siRNA from 1 species
UUGAUUCCCCUCACUGAGUAUUC